AUUGAACGCUGGCGGCAGGCCUAACACAUGCAAGUCGAGCGAGUGGCGGACGGGUGAGUAAUAUAUCGGAACGUGACCAGUAGCGGGGGAUAACUACUCGAAAGCGUAGCUAAUACCGCCUACAAUUAGAGCGGCCGAUAUAGGCUUAGCUAGUUGGUGGGGUAAAGGUUCACCAAGGCUACGAUCCGUAGCUGGUUUGAGAGGACGCCCAGCCACACUGGGACUGAGACACGUCCCAGACUCCUACGGGAGGGAGCAGGGGGGAAUUUGGGACAAGUGGGGAAACCCUGAUGCAGCCAUGCCGCGUGUAUGAGAAGGCCUUCGGGUUGUAAAGUACUUUUGGCAGAGAGGCGGUAUCUGCAGAAUAAGCACCGGCUAACGACGUGCCAGCAGCCGCGGUAAUUC
rnacentral:rRNA from 1 species